GAAGAUCACACAUAUACCGAAUUUGUCACACAUGCUUUGAGAUGACUCAUAAGGAUGCUGAUCACGCACAUAUGCGAGAGACUGGAAUUCGACGUGUUUUGGAUCAUCUAGGCGAAUACAAUUGUAUUAGAUCUUACAAUUCCUUGUUCUUUUCUUUUGUAAAAAGCAAGAUAAAUGCCAAGUAAAGAGUCGUUUGAUUGUGAUGACCUAGGUAAUGACCUCGGUAACUUUGCAUCCAAAGUUAAAAAAUGAGUCUAUGUUUAACCUUCCACAACCGUUAUUAUUCGGAUGCACCUAACAAAUCUUUCGGUUAAACAAAAAAGUACUAAAAUAAAAAUCAUCAAACUAAUACGAUUCUACUCUAUUAAUUUUUCUAUAAAUUAAUGAAAUCAGAAAAUUUCUAGAAAUAUAUUCUCUCAAAUCUGAGAGAUGUGCAUCAAUUAUUUAUCCAUUCUCACGACUUUAUAUUGAUUGCAGUUGCAAAUGUUAUUCAUCAAAACUAGAGGUUUAUAACAACGGAAUUUGUUGUCAAUUUUGCUACUUAUUUCUGCAGUAGGUUAUUCGUCUUAGUGCCCUAGUUGUAUUCUCAAAACAAUCACAUUUAUUUUUUUUUAGAAAUACCACAAAAUAUAUAAGAAAUCUUCUAAGACUUUGUUAAGACUUGUCGUUGGCUUAAGAACACUACAAAAAUUUGUAAAUUUCCUUAUUAUUUAAUUAAAGAAAACCCUUUGGCAUAAAAAAGUCGAUGGCAUGAAAUAUUUCUAAUAUUUUAAGGUUUCUUAUAUCUUUAAAAUCUAUGGAGUACUACUUUACAGUUUACAUAUAUAUACAUCUUAAAAAUCCGUGAAAAUUGUUAUCGAUGGUGUGGUUGUUGGCAUUCUGCUAAUUCUUCCACAGGUUCUCCAAAAAGGUAAGAAGUCUUUCAGGUUUGGGGUAGCCCGGGGAUCGGAUAUAAGUAGUUUUGGCUCUGAUUGAAUUUCAAAUUUGGUCUUUUUAUUUUUUUUUGUAUUUAAUAAUGUUAUGCAUUGUAUAUUAAAUGUUUAUUGCUUUUUUCCAUAAUCAUGUUUUCUGUCUGAUUUGUCUUCACAGAUCGAUAGUUAUUCGUUCCGCUACAAAUUUUGAACUCACAUUAACAUUUUCAUGGAUUAUCAUUUAUUUUAGUUUUAUUAAAAUUUGUAUAUAAAAAUUUAUAGUAAAAAUUAUUAGAGUUAAAUGACCACAUAUACACAAGUUUAAUUACUAAAAUUUGAAUAAGAAAAAAGUCUUUGAAUUUUUUCGGCGAGUUCAAAAAUUUGUAAUCUAUUUUUCUACAUAUCAUAUAGAGAAAUAAUAAUAAAUUUUAACUUAAGGAUUACCAACUUCGUGAGUUUGUAUUGGUCGCAAAUCUAUAAAACCUCCCCAUGUGGAACAAAAAAUAAGAAAUAGAACGUUGGUGUCCUAUUCAGUAGCUAAUGAUCAUAAAUACUAUAUGAUAUUCUUAUAUUACAGUGAAAUGAUUGUAGUUUUUCGUCGGUGCAUAUGUAUAUAUGUAAUAAAAUAUAAUUGCAAAUGAAUACAUGGGAAGAGUUAAAAAGGAAGCAUGCUUGAACCAACAGAGAGUAGUUCCAAAUGUUGCUUUCCAGCCUUAUACAAACGUAUCACCCACAUUACUGCCACAGCUACAUGAAUUGGAGGAGAGAGAGCGAGAGAUAUUGUGAUGAUGAUCAUCAUGAUAUAUCGAUCGAUGAUAAACUGAUGAUGGCUCCGGUAUGUGUAUCCAUAUAUACAUGUCUUGAAUUUGUAACUUGUACAUACGUAGAUCAUGGAGUUUACUAAACCGGAGACGUUUGGUUGGUCGAAUUGGGGUUGGUGCAUCUGCAGUGGGGCUAACUGGCUAAGUCUGUGUAACAGGAUAUGCAGCAUUCAAAUGGUCCCCUUCUGUUCUUAUUGUAAAAAGAAAUUAGUGUUUACUGAGGAGGAAACAUCCCACUUAUAGAUUCACACGCAUAAAAUGCAAACUUCUUUUUUACUUUGUAUCUUUUAUUUCAUGAUAUACAUUGAAAUUGAAGUGUACAUAUGUAGAUUGUGUGCUUCGAACACUCAUGGAACAUAAAUAUACACAUGUACAUAAUUAAUCCUUACUUAUCAUGCUUUGAUUAGGCGUAUUGGUUUACUAGUUCAUGUCAAAUUUUCAUGUACAUAAACCAAAUCUUAUAAUCUCUACUUCAGAUGGUAGAGUUCAUUAAAAAAUUUUGUUUCUUAUAAAAUAUAGCAAAGACGAUGAUGUAUAAUACAAGUGCAUGUGACAUGCUAAGUGAGAGAGGAAAAUAAAAUGUAUACAAGUAUACCAUAUAUAAAAAAAUUAAAUAUCAAAAGAAAUUAAAUAAAGUGGUUCUUUUGUAAUCCACGUCUUUUGAAUAUGAGAGAUGCGUUGGGCUUCCAUGUGAUGUGCUCUUUCAAUGAUCCUAUUCUGUCUAUAUCUAGCCAACCACAUUCCACAUAUACCUUCACACUAGACAGCUCUAUAAUUCCUUUUAAAUCUGUAAUAUAAUUAUAUAUUUUAACAUAACUACCAAAAUAAUAAGGUAUGUAUAUGCACACCAAGUGAGACAGAAGAAGAUAUGUAUGACAUAAUAAUAUUUUGAAUAAAUGUUAAGCUAUCAAUCAAAAAAUGUUUGUACAAUGUCUGUAAUCUUGUUGCUAAAAGUGUUUAAAACAGAGAAUAUAAUCUUAAGAUUUACAAGAAGCUCAUGGAUUAUCUUGAAGCAAAUUAUUCUUUCAUUGCUCCAUCAUACGAAUGUUCCCCAUUGGUCGAACUGAUGAAAUAUGAUUGUGGACCUGUUUAUGAGGUGAUUUGCCAUGCCUUCUUCCAUUGAGCUCUCACUAAAUAUAAUGCAUUUCUAUCUGAAAGAUGUAUUAAAGAAUAAAUGGAGGAAUCAUGUCAUGUGUUUUAUCAGUUAGAAGUAUUCUAUUACAUUGGUUUGUAUAGUGUGAAGCAAGAAAAUGUAGAGUAAGACUCUUCCACACUUUUUCAGAGUAUUAACACUAAAAAUAUAGGUAAAUUCUUUUUUUUUAUGUGCAACAUAUAGGUACAUUCUAAAAGGGGCAUUACAGGUGCAUGGGCUUGCCACUUGAGAGUUCCAGUUAAGGGGUUAUAUGUCAUGUAUAAAAUCAAUAAAAUAUAUUUUGGAGUGCUAAAAUAUGACCAAACCCCUUGACACCAAUUUAUUGUUGCAUGCGCCACACAUAGCAAUAUGCAUAUAUGGUAGUUUAGUAAUAGGCAGAUUUUGGAUUGUUAAGCGAUCCGAGUUAGAAUGAAUUUCAUUACACUCUAUUAUAUGGUCACACAUAUAUAGUUUUAUUGUUUGAGACCCAUUUGAUUACUCAGAGAAAGGGUCAAUUCGUGGAUUACAUUCAUUUUGGAGAUUAGUUUGGUUCUUCUAUAGGUCUGAGAUACAUUAAAGUUAAUAAAAAAACAUAUAUACAAUGUUAAAUCGAUAUUUGUCUUCCAAUCUAUAAAAUAUAAAAUCCUGACAGUUUCACUUUAGUUUUGGAAUAUAUGAAUCAAGUUUGUUAAAAUUUAGCUAAAAUUGGGUCAGCAAUCGGAAGAAAUAAUCAAGAUGACAAAAAAAUAUUUAUGAGAAAAAGAACAAUUUAUUUGGGUUAUAAAAGGGCCGAAUGUUUUAAAUUCUUAAGGCCCAAAACAAGAAAUAAUCUUUGAAUCGGGCCUAGAAUAGAUUCGUAUAAAAGAUGUCAAAACGCAUAUAGGUUGUAGAAAUUUUCAAGUAGUAGAUAUUUUUCAACAAGCUUCAAUCUCUGACCGUCAAUAAAAAUUGUUAGUUACUACUCCUACGUGGCAUGAUCACAACCGUCCAAAUGAAUAAAACAGUGCCCGUUAAACAGAAUGCGGAUUUCAAAUAGUUUUCAAAACUCAGCCGUUCAAAAAAGCGCUUCAGUUCCGACUCCCGCCAUAUAGAACCCAAAGCAAAUCCAGUCAUAAUCUCAAAUCUCACUCUCUCGUUUCAAGCUUUAGAUCUCCACAGCGAUAAUGCUUUCUGCUCUCAAGUAACUUGUUGCUACAAUCAACGUUCAUCUUAAAGCUUUCCUGCAUUUGAGUUUUUUUUUUUUUUAAACUGUUGACAACGUUCUUUCUUCAGAAUUUUGGAUAUAUGACUGGAAGUGAUGCUCUUCUAAAGGUCGGACUCGUUGAUUUUGCUAAUGUUUGGAUGUCUGCCUUGCAACUAAAUCCUGAUGCUGAAACGUUGUUUUUGUUUACAGAGAAAAUCAGUUGUGCGUAUCACUACUGGUUGCCAAGCUCUUGAUGAUCUCUUAGGAGGUAUACUAAGUUUUGCUUUUAGAGUUUGAUUUCUCAAAAUGCUUGGCAAGUGGAAUUGAAACCUCAGCUAUCACAGAGGCUUCUGGGGGAUUCAGGUCUGGGAAAACUCAGUUAGCACAUACCCUUUGUGUCACUACGCAGGCUGGUUUCUUUCCUAAAGUCUUAGUAUGAAUGCAUGUUUUUGUGUUUUAGUCUAACUGUCAAAGGCAUGAGACGAGAUUUAUUCUUUCAGCAUAUAAUCUUUGAGAUCUCUGUAUUAUACUCCUACUGGUACUCAUUUGUGUAUUUGAUGUUAUGCAGCUGCCUAAAAACAUGAAAGGAGGGAACGGAAAAGUGGCUUACAUCGACACUGAAGGAACCUUGUAUCCUUAACAUCUUAGAGAAACUCCUCUGGUCCAGUUCUCGUAACAUCAUAUCCAAAGAAGCCAGCAGGUGGGCAUCUUCUUGCUCAUGCUGUAACCAUCAGGCUCAGUUUCAUGAAAGGCAAAGGAGAGCAACGUGUAUGCAAAGUCUUUGACGCACCAAAUCUGCCUGAAGCCGAAGCUAUAUCCUUUUUUUUUAACAAAUCUAUAACAACUUGCUAUUCAUCCAUAAUGCAUAACUUUGUUUUCCUUAACAAAAAGAAAGCACAUCUUCCAGAGGCGUUGCAGAUGCCAAAGACUAGAGCCGGCCUAGAGGAGUUCUUUAUGUCUCGUUACUUAUUAAUUAUUAUGCAUGUUUUCUUUCUACUAUGAGUAGCCAUAUUUUACCCACAGGACUUUACGUGGGAAGUUAUUUUUCUUACCAUGACUUAUUAUUAGCUUCUUAUUAUCAAAUACAAGCUGCAAAUGCACUUGAAUCAGAAGUUUGUCUUUUAUUCGUAGCAUCAUGAGCAUUAAUAGAGAGAGCCAGAGAAACCUUAGAAUGGCCGGUGUGAGAAAAUCAAGAGAAAGAUUGAAACGAUGAGAUCUCAAAGCUCCGGAACACAGCCAGAGUUCAACAAAAAGUAAAUUAAAAA